rnacentral:lncRNA from 1 species
GCAAGAAUAUAUAAAGUAAGUAUGUGUGUUAGGAACUGAAGAAGGAUAAGUAUAUAAAACCGGAUACUCAUUGAAAAGAAUAACUGGAUGGUAAAUUAUUGAAAAGAGGAAACUCGGCCCGUUACAAAUGGUGACCAGCUAGUGGGAUUAUUUUCAUUUGAGAACCAAUUUGAAGGAAUGAGGUGUGGUACUUUGGUGAAUUUGUUUUCUCAAAAUACAGUAUACAGUAAUGUACAAUUUUGUCAUCAGUAAAGAGUACAAAUAAGUGUGUGAUUUAAAGUACAAACUUUUGUGUCAAGUACUGUACAAUACUAAUGUAUUUGGAACUGCAAAGAUAUUUUGUUAAAGAGUUAAGGGAAGAACUAACAAUUGAUUCACUUUCACAAUUGUUUUUUGUGCAAGAAAGUUAUAACUUUUUGGGUGUCACAAAGUUAGGUAAAGCACCAACUUUUUAGUAAGCUACCUAACUGAUCUUUUGAGUUUUUAUUGUGUGAAAUUUCUAAAGUGGUAAUUGCACAUUAGUGUAAAUUUUAUUUUUAUAUUUGUGACCAGGGAAUUAAUAUAUUGAUAUUUACAGACAUUGAGUGGGCAGUAUACAUCUUCCAUGUUAAAAGUGUGAUGAACAGUGUUCAUCUCCGAUUGCCAGCGGAAGUGUCAGUUGUACAAAGGUUAUGUAAUCCAAUGUUUUAUUUGUAGCUGUGGCAUUUAUUGGAAAUAUUGGUGUGAUUUCAAUAGAAAGUGUUCAGACUCUCACUUGAAGUAUUUUUCUAACUUGAAUUUAUAUUAUAUCACCUGAAUUGAGUGUUAUAUGAUUUCUCUUUGUGUGUAUUUAAUUAUUUUCGGUUCUUUUUCUAGUGACUUUAAUUGUGAUUUAACUAGAAAGGGUUUUAGUUUCCAUUUGAUGUCAGUUUAUGACAAGUGAAUUUAUUGAUAUAACAAAAGUUUAGUGUUAGAGAUUUUUCCAUAUGGCAUUUUUAAUCUGUUUCUUUAACUGAUAAUUUCAUUAAAGACUGCAAUACAAUUUCUUACAGUGUAGACUUAUAUGCAUUGUUAAUAAAUGUGCUAUAUGUAUUUGAGAACUAAUGCCUGUGUAUUUUCAGCAAAUGUGUUGAUUGGGUUGAGAACCCUGUGGUGAGAUGGAUGCCUCUAAGAAUGCAAUCUCUGAAACCAGAUACUAGUUGAAAUUACAAGUAAGGUCCACCAAGUGUUGAGUACAGCACAUAGUCCAGAUAAUUGAAAAGAGACAGUGAAUACUUGUCGAGUACCGAAAAUCGGCUUUUCUGUAGUCAUUCCUGAAAUGAAGAGUGAUAUUUUCAUGGGACAUUCUUGUCAAGUAUCAUCACUUAAUGUUUUAGCAUUACUCUGAGUACCUUGUGAAGUGAAACUUCUGUGUUGUUUUCUUUAGAGAUCGUUAAUUUUUUGUGUGACAGUCUCCGAUACUAUUACCAAUAAUUUUCAUGAUUGUAAUUUAAGAAGUAUCCUAUGCAAGUUUGUGUUAAUGUUUACCCCCGUGUCUUGAAGGGUGUUAAUUGAGUUUAUCUUUGGUGGGGUAGUUUUGUAGAAGUUUGUUGGGACAUCAACGCACGAUGAUCACAGUAGUUGUUAAUAAGUUGCAACUCGUAUGCAAAGAAGACUGAGAAAGCUAGUGGUUGUCAUGGCUACUAGAAUUUGGGUGUUUGAGAAGGGAGAAGGUCAGAUCUUACGUCUCAGGUUUACCCAUCGUUAUUUCAAACAACAUCCAGAAAUAUGCGUGAGCGUCAAUUCGGAUUCAAGUAUAUAUGUUCCUUUUAGUAACGUAACCUCGAAAGCAGUCUGUUUGCUCACCGGUACAAUACUUGGGUAGUAUGAGCUAAUCCCGGAGCGAGAAAUUUCUUAUUUAGAUACUGCAGGGACCAAUCUAGGGAACAUUCCACAAGUAUAUGAUGAAUUAUGUAAAGUCAGUCAAGCAAAGGAAAUAUCCUUAUGUGCAUCCCAUUACUUGGCGAUCCAGCUUGAACAGAAGAAUAGGCCCAGUACCUUGAAAGUCAUUCCAGUAGAUGAUAAUAAUGCUCCCCCCCCACUCCUUGUGUGAUCUGUAAUGGCAUACCAACAUCUUCCAUCAAUAACGUAAGGCUUAUUCAGGGGAUUUCGAACAGCAUGAUACCAUAUUGUGAUGAAGUAAAUAUG